UUUCCGCUGCUCCCCCCGAAACGCCGAAGUCCAGGAGCAACCCCAUCCCCCGGCGCCCUUCGCUUCAGGGCCGCAGGGGUUAUUUUCGCGGCCAGGCGUGCCCAGAGGAGGCCGAGGGCGGCCCGGGCAGCCGGGGGAAAACGCAGCCCCCUCUCCCGGGGCACCGGGCUGCCCCCGUCCGUAGGGAGGUGCUCGCACGCCUUCCUGGGCCAGACUCGCCGCCCUCCUCCGUGGGGAGGAAAACCCACGCGUGUGCAGCCAGCCCGCCCCCCCGGGCACUCACCGCACCAGCUCGGCGCAGUACUGCGCCUCUCCUCCGGGCGCCGGGCGGCUNNNNNNNNNNNNNNNNNNGCCCGACCCGCAGCCCACCCCGCGCCACGGCGGCGGCCGCCAUGCUGCCCGCCGCUCCGCUCCGCCCCUCCCGCCAGGCGCCCCGGCCCCGCGGGGCCGCUCCGGUGUAAACGCGUAACGGAGAAGGAAGUUACUGAAAAGCUUCUUCAAGUCUGUAUAGAUUCUGUUUCAAACACAAAUAAAGGUUGUAAAAGGUGCUAUGCUAACAGCAGCGGGAAACAAAGACCUUGGUGGUUUAUGGAGGAUGAGGACCACUGCAUGCUUCCUUGGCUGUGUGCUGCAGGACUGAGCUGGUGUGACUGUCGUUCAGAGUGAAAGGAAACAGCGAUUUUUGCUUACCCACCAGCACCGUUGCCAACCGUGGGCAUACUCCACUGCACUCAACAGGAAUUCCUGCUCAUCUGAUAUUCUCAAGCCUUCUGUGGUUUUACCUCAGAUUCAGUUUUACUCCUAUGGAGUGAGAUGGAUCUGACAACUCACUUUACAUACACCAUGAAGUAAAGGCCAGAUAUUACCAGCUUUCAGUUACUCCUGAUUCCGACUGUGGACUUAUGAGUGAAACAGUGGGUAUUCAGGUCAUACAACUUUUGUUGCAUGAUACCUUUUGAUACCUAUCUUUUGUUCAGAUAGUCUCUUAUCUCUUUUUAGCCAGUGGAUUAAAAUAGGACUUCUACAGAAAGUAAUUCAGAAUAAGGACAUAGCUUCAGCACUCAGAUCAUGCUAAUUAACCUUGGUCUCCCUACUAGUUGUAGAGUACAGACCCUCUCUGACCAGGAACCUCUCCACAGCUGUGCCACAUUCUUUGAACACUCAAACAGGCAGAAGCAGAACUUGGGGCCAAGUUUUCAAGGGCUUAGUGCAUCCUAACUGCCCAGCUUCCACUUUGACAUCAAAAUAAGACCUUCAGAAUUAAGAAGCCUUUGCUAUUAAUCUGAGUUCCUUUGAAAAUCCUGCUUUCUGUGGGGACAACAUACUCUCUUCAGAAUUUUGUCUCGUUUUUCAAGAACCAUCUUAAAACCUCCAUACGGUCGUGAGAGGAGAUGACUUAUCUGACUGCCCUUGCACAGAAGCGCAGGCCCACGCAAACACAGUUUGGUUCCAUGUUGUUGCCUGGGGUGACACGCAUACAAUAUCAGAUGCAAAUACGGUGAGUAUUUGAAUGGAAUCCACAAAGUGUGUGCUUUUAAGAUAAAGUAGAGCCAAGUCCUGCUGCUGCUGCUUUGGAUGCAAAUAUAUUUGUAAUGAACUCUUGGUUUUGUAUGUAUCCCUUAUCUUGCACCUGUUAUCAUCUUUGUUGUAAAAAGCUUAGGGGUAAGCUUUCCAAAUGAUACACCCCAUCUGUGCUACCUGUAUAAAUAGUGUUAGCAAGAAACAUUCAAACUGAAAAGCCACAAGUUCUUGACAGACGGGUAUCAGCACUGUUUUCUCUGGCUAGCAAGGGCACGAUCUUUGUGUUCUUUCAUCAAGUUGCCAACCUUUACUUGUUUGAAAUUCUUGUGAAGUUACUGGGAGGGAGAAGAGAGAGAGGGUG
rnacentral:lncRNA from 1 species